CUAUAGGGGGACGCAGGAAGGUAGAUGAACCCGGUGAAUGGUAGAACCGGGGUAAGCGUGUAGGAGGAGGACCAGGCAAAUCCGGGCCUCAUAUACCCUUAGACGUGAUACCGAGCCGCUUCAGGCGAAGUCAUUAAUCCUAUGCUGCCUAGAAAAGCCCAGUAGCGAGUUGACAUGGUGCCCGUACCCCAAACCAACAAAGGUGGACAGGUAGAGCAUACCAAGGCGAGUGGGAUAACUAUGGUUAAGGAACUCGGCAAAUUUCCUCCGUAACUUCGGGAUAAGGAGGACCCCAGUAGCGUGACGAGACUUGCUCUCCGAGCGCGAAGGGGUGGCACAAAAUUGAGGGAAGCGACUGUUUACCAAAAACACAGCAGCGUGCUAAGCCGUAAGGCGCUGUAUACGCUGUGACUCCUGCCCGGUGCUGGAAGGUUACGGGGAUGGGUUAGUCCUUUGGGACGAAGCUCUGAACCUAAGCCCCAGUAAACGGCGGCCGUAACUAUAACGGUCCUAAGGUAGCGAAAUUCCUUGUCGGGUAAGUUCCGACCUGCACGAAUGGAGUAACGACUUCCCUACUGUCUCAACCAUAGACCCAGCGAAAUUGAAGUACGAGUAAAGAUGCUCGUUAGCUGCAGAAGGACGGAAAGACCCCGUGGACCUUUACUAUAACUUGAUGUUGUGUUUUGUCAUAUGUUGUGUAGGAUAGGUGGGAGACAAGGAAGCAUGGACGCUAGUCUGUGUGGAGUCAUCGUUGAAAUACCACCCUGCAUAUGGUGAGGCUCUAACCUAGACCCGUUAUCCGGGUUGGGGACAGCGUCAGGCGGGUAGUUUAACUGGGGCGGUUGCCUCCUACAGAGUAACGGAGGCGCCCAAAGGUUCCCUCAGCCUGGUUGGCAAUCAGGCGUCGAGUGCAAUGGCAAAAGGGAGCUUGACUGCGAGACCUACAAGUCGAGCAGGAGCGAAAGCUGGGCAUAGUGAUCCGGCGGUUGCGUGUGGAAGCGCCGUCGCUCAACGGAUAAAAGGUACCCCGGGGAUAACAGGCUAAUCUUGCCCAAGCGUCCAUAGCGACGGCAAGGUUUGGCACCUCGAUGUCGGCUCAUCGCAUCCUGGGGCUGAAGCAGGUCCCAAGGGUUGGGCUGUUCGCCCAUUAAAGCGGUACGCGAGCUGGGUUCAGAACGUCGUGAGACAGUUCGGUCCCUAUCCUCUGUAGCCGUAGGUGAAUUGAGGAAAGCUGUCCCUAGUACG
rnacentral:rRNA from 1 species